rnacentral:rRNA from 1 species
CCUACGGGGGGCAGCAGUGGGGAAUAUUGGACAAUGGGGGCAACCCUGAUCCAGCCAUGCCGCGUGUGUGAAGAAGGCCCUCGGGUUGUAAAGCACUUUCAGUGAGGAAGAACGCCUGGUGGUUAAUACCCAUCAGGAAAGACAUCACUCACAGAAGAAGCACCGGCUAACUCCGUGCCAGCAGCCGCGGUAAUACGGAGGGUGCGAGCGUUAAUCGGAAUUACUGGGCGUAAAGCGCGCGUAGGUGGCUUGAUAAGCCGGUUGUGAAAGCCCCGGGCUCAACCUGGGAACGGCAUCCGGAACUGUCAAGCUAGAGUGCAGGAGAGGAAGGUAGAAUUCCCGGUGUAGCGGUGUAAUGCGUAGAGAUCGGGAGGAAUACCAGUGGCGAAGGCGGCCUUCUGGACUGACACUGACACUGAGGUGCGAAAGCGUGGGUAGCAAACAGGAUUAGAUACCCGAGUAGUC